GCGACAGGAAGUGUAGAUCUUCACUCCUGAACUCAAGGCCAUUUCUGUAGCGCUGGUGGCCCAGGAAGAAUCAGCCUGGCUCCUGGGGUGGGACAGGGACAGGUGCAGGGCUGCGAGGCCCCAGUCUGGGAGAAGGCAGCUGUGUUCUCACACAUGUGCCAAGGGUUACCUGACUACAAAUGGCCGGCCCUGAGCCCACCACUGCACUGGCCGCCAGACAUAGCCCUCCAGGACAGACCGCGGCUCUCACUGAACUCUGAAUCCUGCCUUCUCUGAUCACACAGACAAGACCAGAGGAUCUCACUAUGUAGCUCAGAAUUUAUUUCCUCUCAUCUGGAAGCUGUUCCUGUCUCAUCUGUGACCAGAGGAUUCAUGGGCUCCUCCCAGAACUUGAAUGUCCCAGCUCUUCCUGGCCUGGGCCUUCCCACUCAAAGCCUCACAGCCAUGACUCCGUUACAGUAACAGCAACACUCCAACUGGCUUUUUUUUUGGUACUGGGGAUCGAACUCAGCGAAACCACUGAGCUAAAUUCCCUCCAACUGGUUUUUGAAGGAAGGAGCUCAAAACGGCAUCUUCACAGGGGAUCCCUCCUCGGAUCUGCAGCCUCUGUCCACCUCCUUCCCAGUCUCCCACUUCUCCACUGGGGACGUGGGGCUUCUCAGCCUCCCUCUCUCAGAAAGUCCUGGCGUCAAAGUGGGCGUGGUAACGCAUGCCUGUAAUCACAGCACUGGAGGCUGAAGCAGGAGGAUCUUGGAGUUUGAGUUCAGCCUGGGCAAAACAAAACAAAAAAGCCAAGAGUCUGGUGUUCAGGACAGUGCACUGUGACCCUGGCCUGGCUUGGGUCACCUGGCUUUGGUGCUGUAACAGACAUACAUUCCCACUUUUCCCGGGGGCGGGGGAGGUUGCCUGGUGUUUUGUGACCAAACCCAGCCUCUUCCAGGCUUCAGACUCAGGAGCAGAGGUGGGCUUUUCGGAGAGGCAGCUGGCUCUUCCUGUUUCUCUGCUCCGCCUCUCCUGGUGGGAACCUGAGGCAGGGCUGGGUAUGGUGCAGGAGGCCCGGGUUCAAGCCCCAGCACUGCCAAAAAGAAACCGAUUCCAGGGCCUGGGAUUCAGCUCAGUGGCACUGCCCGUGCCUCAAAAGCACAAGGUCCUGAGUUUGAUCCCCACUGCAAAAAAAAAAAC
ensembl:lncRNA